rnacentral:rRNA from 1 species
AUUGAACGCUGGCGGCAGGCUUAACACAUGCAAGUCGAGCGAGCGGCGGACGGGUGAGUAAUGUAUGGGGAACUGCCUGAUGGAGGGGGAUAACUACUGGAAACGGUAGCUAAUACCGCAUACCAUCAGAUGUGCCCAGAUGGGAUUAGCUAGUAGGUGGGGUAAUGGCUCACCUAGGCGACGAUCCCUAGCUGGUCUGAGAGGAUGACCAGCCACACUGGAACUGAGACACGGCCCAGACGCCUACGGGAGGCAGCAGUGGGGAAUAUUGCACAAUGGGCGCAAGCCUGAUGCAGCCAUGCCGCGUGUGUGAAGAAGGCCUUCGGGUUGUAAAGUUCUUUCGGUAGGGAGGCGUUAACUACAGAAGAAGCACCGGCUAACUCCGUGCCAGCCGCCGCGGUAAUUC